GAUGAACGCUGGCGGCGUGCCUAAUACAUGCAAGUCGAGCGAACAGACGAGGAGCUUGCUCCUCUGACGUUAGCGGCGGACGGGUGGGUAACACGUGGAUAACCUACCUAUAAGACUGGGAUAACUUCGGGAAACCGGAGCUAAUACCGGAUAAUAUAUUGAACCGCAUGGUUCAAUAGUGAAAGACGGUUUUGCUGUCACUUAUAGAUGGAUCCGCGCCGCAUUAGCUAGUUGGUAAGGUAACGGCUUACCAAGGCAACGAUGCGUAGCCGACCUGAGAGAGUGAUCGGCCACACUGGAACUGAGACACGGUCCAGACUCCUACGGGAGGCAGCAGUAGGGAAUCUUCCGCAAGGGGCGAAAGCCUGACGGAGCAACGCCGCGUGAGUGAUGAAGGUCUUCGGAUCGUAAAACUCUGUUAUUAGGGAAGAACAAAUGUGUAAGUAACUAUGCACGUCUUGACGGUACCUAAUCAGAAAGCCACGGCUAACUACGUG
rnacentral:rRNA from 1 species